CUUGUUCGACAAAACUUUCUUGCUCCGGAUGCAGAAGCCAUGUUAAACAUACCAUUGCGCACCGGAGGGGGGAACGAUUUCUUUGCUUGGGCUUUUGAAAACUCAGGUGUGUACAUUGACAAGUCGGCGUACCGUGCUCUCGUGAAUCAGAAAGAGCGUCAUGCUCUAGAGGAAGGGACGGCUACCGGUGCCUUAAAAUUAGAACAACAGAUGUGGACAUCUCUGUGGAAGCUCAAAGUUGUGCCUAAGGUCAGAGUCUUCUGGUGGAGAGUUCUUCGCGGGAUCCUCCCUGACGAAGAAACCCUUAAACACAAACAUAUCAAACCUCUUAGCCUAUGCAAUGUUUGCCUGGCCAAAGAGGAGGAUCGUAUGCAUGCAUUGGUGUCCUGUUCCCAUGCACGCAGAUUUUGGGAUGAAGCUCAAACCUGGUUCGAUCUCCGACUCCCACGCUUACAUCCAGCCACCUGGGCGCGCGACAUCUUAUGUGAUGAUCGUUUCUAG
rnacentral:rRNA from 1 species